CCUAUCGCAUGUAGGCAGAGACCUGACCAACCUACAACCUACUGGACUUGCUAAGCUCCUGAAGGAGGAAGCUGCUACCACUAAAGCCUACCUCCCAACUGAGAGAGCCUCACGUGCACAGAGGUUCUAGGGCAGCCUAAUGGAUUCUUUCCCAUCUACCUGCCUCCUGGAACUCCAAGGUGAUCGGGCCCAAGCAGGAAAAUGUGUGGCCCACUUGUGCCAAGUCUGAGCUCCGCGGCAGGCUCUCACGAUGUUAGAGUUCCUUGGAGACGACCGUCCCAUUUUAAUACACAAACCUCUCACGGGCGCACGGUGAAAUGAGUUAAUGUUGUAGUGCAGUGGAAUGCUAGUCACGAAGACUGUGAGCUGUGGCCACUGGUUGCUGAACGUGGCCAUUGAAAGUGCCCCUGGAUUCUAUUUUUAUUUCACUCUUGCCAAGUUCAUGGAGCAAAUUCCUCUUUCUCUCUCAAUCUGGCUUUUCUCCCUGCCCCAGAGGAACGGUGUUUCGGCUGUAAUGUCUUCUAAUGCACUAUAAAUGCGGUG